rnacentral:rRNA from 1 species
GCAGUCGAGCGGUAAGGCCUUUCGGGGUACACGAGCGGCGAACGGGUGAGUAACACGUGGGUGAUCUGCCCUGCACUUCGGGAUAAGCCUGGGAAACUGGGUCUAAUACCGGAUAUGACCUCCUAUCGCAUGGUGGGUGGUGGAAAGAUUUAUCGGUGCAGGAUGGGCCCGCGGCCUAUCAGCUUGUUGGUGGGGUAAUGGCCUACCAAGGCGACGACGGGUAGCCGACCUGAGAGGGUGACCGGCCACACUGGGACUGAGACACGGCCCAGACUCCUACGGGAGGCAGCAGUGGGGAAUAUUGCACAAUGGGCGAAAGCCUGAUGCAGCGACGCCGCGUGAGGGAUGACGGCCUUCGGGUUGUAAACCUCUUUCAGCAGGGACGAAGCGCAAGUGACGGUACCUGCAGAAGAAGCACCGGCUAACUACGUGCCAGCAGCCGCGGUAAUACGUAGGGUGCAAGCGUUGUCCGGAAUUACUGGGCGUAAAGAGUUCGUAGGCGGUUUGUCGCGUCGUUUGUGAAAACCAGCAGCUCAACUGCUGGCUUGCAGGCGAUACGGGCAGACUUGAGUACUGCAGGGGAGACUGGAAUUCCUGGUGUAGCGGUGAAAUGCGCAGAUAUCAGGAGGAACACCGGUGGCGAAGGCGGGUCUCUGGGCAGUAACUGACGCUGAGGAACGAAAGCGUGGGUAGCGAACAGGAUUAGAUACCCUGGUAGUCCACGCCGUAAACGGUGGGCGCUAGGUGUGGGUUCCUUCCACGGAAUCCGUGCCGUAGCUAACGCAUUAAGCGCCCCGCCUGGGGAGUACGGCCGCAAGGCUAAAACUCAAAGGAAUUGACGGGGCCCGCACAAGCGGCGGAGCAUGUGGAUUAAUUCGAUGCAACGCGA